AAAUAGAUCCUGAAACCGUAUGCUUACAAAAAGUAGGAGCCCGCAAGGGUGACUGCGUACCUUUUGUAUAAUGGGUCAGCGACUUACAUUCAGUGGCAAGGUUAACCGAAUAGGGAAGCCGUAGAGAAAUCGAGUCCGAAUAGGGCGAAUUAGUCGCUGGGUGUAGACCCGAAACCAAGUGAUCUAUCCAUGGGCAGGAUGAAGGUGCCGUAACAGGUACUGGAGGUCCGAACCGACUAAUGUUGCAAAAUUAGCGGAUGACCUGUGGAUAGGGGUGAAAGGCUAAACAAACUUGGAAAUAGCUGGUUCUCUCCGAAAACUAUUUAGGUAGUGCCUCAAGUAUUACCGUCGGGGGUAGAGCACUGUUUUGGCUAGGGGGUCAUGGCGACUUACCAAACCAAUGCAAACUCCGAAUACCGACGAGUACAGCUUGGGAGACAGAGCACCGGGUGCUAACGUCCGGACUCAAGAGGGAAACAACCCAGACCGCCAGCUAAGGUCCCUAAAAUUGGCUAAGUGGGAAACGAAGUGGGAAGGCUAAAACAGUCAGGAUGUUGGCUUAGAAGCAGCCAUCAUUUAAAGAAAGCGUAAUAGCUCACUGAUCGAGUCGUCCUGCGCGGAGGAUGUAACGGGGCUAAGCCAGUUACCGAAGCUGCGGAUUUGCAAUUUAUUGCAAGUGGUAGGAGAGCGUUCUGUAAGCCUGUGAAGGUGCGUUGUAAAGCGUGCUGGAGGUAUCAGAAGUGCGAAUGCUGACAUGAGUAGCGUUAAAGGGGGUGAAAAGCCCCCUCGCCGUAAGCGCAAGGUUUUCUACGCAACGUUCAUCGGCGUAGAGUGAGUCGGCCCCUAAGGCGAGGCAGAGAUGCGUAGUUGAUGGGAAACAGGUCAAUAUUCCUGUACCGAUGUGUAGUGCGAUGUGGGGACGGAGAAGGUUAGCUCAGCAGACUGUUGGAUAUGUCUGUUCAAGCCUGUAGUCGUGCCUGGUAGGUAAAUCCGCCGGGCUUAGAUGAGGGGUGAUAACGAGGAUGCUUGCAUCCGAAGUGAGUGAUACCCUGCUUCCAGGAAAAGCCACUAAGCUUCAGCUACACACGACCGUACCGCAAACCGACACUGGUGCGCGAGAUGAGUAUUCUAAGGCGCUUGAGAGAACUCAGGAGAAGGAACUCGGCAAAUUGACACCGUAACUUCGGAAGAAGGUGUGCCUUUAGUAUGUGAACCUGAACAAGGGGAGCAGAAUGAGGCCUCAGAGAAUCGGUGGCUGCGACUGUUUAAUAAAAACACAGCACUCUGCGAACACGAAAGUGGACGUAUAGGGUGUGACGCCUGCCCGGUGCUGGAAGAUUAAAUGAUGGGGUGCAAGCUCUUGAUUGAAGUCCCAGUAAACGGCGGCCGUAACUAUAACGGUCCUAAGGUGGCGAAAUUCCUUGUCGGGUAAGUUCCGACCUGCACGAAUGGCGUAACGAUGGCCACACUGUCUCCUCCUGAGACUCAGCGAAGUUGAAAUGUUUGUGAUGAUGCAAUCUCCCCGCGGAAAGACGGAAAGACCCCAUGAACCUUUACUGUAGCUUUGUAUUGGACUUUGAACAGAUCUGUGUAGGAUAGGUGGGAGGCUUUGAAGCCGGAACGCUAGUUUCGGUGGAGCCAACGUUGAAAUACCACCCUGGUGUGUUUGAGGUUCUAACCUAGGUCCAUUAUCUGGAUCGGGGACAGUGCAUGGUAGGCAGUUUGACUGGGGCGGUCUCCUCCCAAAGCGUAACGGAGGAGUUCGAAGGUACGCUAGUUACGGUCGGACAUCGUGAUGAUAGUGCAAUGGCAUAAGCGUGCUUAACUGCGAGACUGACAAGUCGAGCAGAUACGAAAGUAGGACAUAGUGAUCCGGUGGUUCUGUAUGGAAGGGCCAUCGCUCAACGGAUAAAAGGUACUCUGGGGAUAACAGGCUGAUACCGCCCAAGAGUUCAUAUCGACGGCGGUGUUUGGCACCUCGAUGUCGGCUCAUCUCAUCCUGGGGCUGUAGCCGGUCCCAAGGGUAUGGCUGUUCGCCAUUUAAAGAGGUACGUGAGCUGGGUUUAAAACGUCGUGAGACAGUUUGGUCCCUAUCUUCCGUGGGCGCUG
rnacentral:rRNA from 1 species